GUGGGGAAUAUUGGACAAUGGGCGAAAGCCUGAUCCAGCAAUGCCGCGUGAGUGAUGAAGGCCUUAGGGUUGUAAAGCUCUUUUACCCGGGAUGAUAAUGACAGUACCGGGAGAAUAAGCUCCGGCUAACUCCGUGCCAGCAGCCGCGGUAAUACGGAGGGAGCUAGCGUUAUUCGGAAUUACUGGGCGUAAAGCGCACGUAGGCGGCUUUGUAAGUUAGAGGUGAAAGCCUGGAGCUCAACUCCAGAAUUGCCUUUAAGACUGCAUCGCUUGAAUCCAGGAGAGGUGAGUGGAAUUCCGAGUGUAGAGGUGAAAUUCGUAGAUAUUCGGAAGAACACCAGUGGCGAAGGCGGCUCACUGGACUGGUAUUGACGCUGAGGUGCGAAAGCGUGGGGAGCAA
rnacentral:rRNA from 1 species